GUAAAUAGAAAUCUAUGAAAUUUUGACAUAAGGUUUAUGACCACAAAAGAAAGGUUGGGAUUGAUUUUGGGAGUUUUUGGUUCCAACAGUUUAGGAAUUAGGGGCCAAAAAAGGGCCCAAAUAAGCAUUAUUCUUGGUUUUCGCACAAUAACUUUAGUUUAAGUAAAUAGAAAUCAAUGAAAUUUAAACACAAUGUUUAUGACCACAAAAGGAAGGUUGGUAUUGAUUUUUGGAGUUUAGGUCCCAACAUUUUAGGAAUUAGGGGCCAAAAAGGGACCCAAAUAAGCAUUUUUCUUGGUUUUCGCACCAUAACUUUAGUAUAAGUAAAUAGAAAUCUAUGAAAUUUAAACACAAGGUUUGUGACCAUAAAAGGAAGGUUGGUAUUGAUUUUGGGAGUUUUGGUCCCAACAGUUUAGGAAUAAAGGGCCCAAAGGGUCCAGAUUUAAACUUUGUUUGAUUUUAUCAAAAAUUGAAUAAUUGGGGUUCUUUGAUAUGCCG
rnacentral:lncRNA from 1 species